rnacentral:lncRNA from 1 species
UUUUGUUCUUGUUUUCCUUUUUUCAGCAGAAGAUGAAGAGAAGCAUCAAUAAAAUCAUGGAGCCUGUGUGUCAGUAUUUAUAUGAACCUAAGAAGAAUCUAUUAAUAUCUCUGAGAUAUUAAAUCAUAUAAAGUUAUAAAGUACCUAACACAGCAUCCAGGACUUGGUUUGCAGGCAGAAAAUGUGAGUUCUUUUUUGUUUUUCUUGAAGAUUUAAAGAAGGAGUUUGGAAACUACUAGAAAGGAGUUUGGAAAAGAGAGAGACAGAGUGUUUCUGUACAUUGAUUGGAAGAGUCUCAGAAGUGAGUCCUGAGAAGAGAGAGAAUGAGCCUGGAGGCAAAAGUGAAAGCAUAAUUCCUCAGUCCUACAUUCCUGCCCUGGUAAUUCACAAAAAUCCUCCAGAGGGCUUUUAGAGUUGUUUAAAG